rnacentral:tRNA from 1 species
UUCGGAAGCAUGGGACCUUGAACGUCCUCUAUAGAUGUUCGACUCAUCUACAUUCCUGACAAU